ACGGGUGAGUAAUACAUCGGAACGUGCCCUGUAGUGGGGGAUAACUAGUCGAAAGAUUAGCUAAUACCGCAUACGACCUGAGGGUGAAAGUGGGGGACCACAAGGCCUCAUGCUAUAGGAGCGGCCGAUGUCUGAUUAGCUAGUUGGUGGGGUAAAGGCCCACCAAGGCGACGAUCAGUAGCUGGUCUGAGAGGACGAUCAGCCACACUGGGACUGAGACACGGCCCAGACUCCUACGGGAGGCAGCAGUGGGGAAUUUUGGACAAUGGGGGCAACCCUGAUCCAGCAAUGCCGCGUGUGUGAAGAAGGCCUUCGGGUUGUAAAGCACUUUUGUCCGGAAAGAAAUCGCACUUACUAAUAUUAGGUGUGGAUGACGGUACCGGAAGAAUAAGGACCGGCUAACUACGUGCCAGCAGCCGCGGUAAUACGUAGGGUCCAAGCGUUAAUCGGAAUUACUGGGCGUAAAGCGUGCGCAGGCGGUUGUGCAAGACCGAUGUGAAAUCCCCGGGCUUAACCUGGGAAUUGCAUUGGUGACUGCACGGCUAGAGUGUGUCAGAGGGGGGUAGAAUUCCACGU
rnacentral:rRNA from 1 species